rnacentral:misc_RNA from 1 species
AACAAGGCGUACCUGCGGACCUGCGGAGGGAUCAUUACCGAGGACCGGCCUCUCUUUUUGCGAGAGGUCCCUCUCACACCUUGAAGUUUUUGUUGACCUAUUUUGCUUCGGCGGGACGUGGUUUUUGGAGCUGCACGGUUUUUGUGACUGGCGGCUUGCGACCCCGUCGGCCCCUUUGCUGGGCGGAUGCGCGCCCGCCGAAGAAGUCCAGACUCUUUUGUUUUGUCAGUCAGAAAUUUU